rnacentral:rRNA from 1 species
ACGAACGCUGGCGGCGUGCUUAACACAUGCAAGUCGAACGGAAAGGCCUCAGCUUGCUGGGGUACUCGAGUGGCGAACGGGUGAGUAACACGUGGGUGAUCUGCCUUGCACUCUGGGAUAAGCUUGGGAAACUGGGUCUAAUACCGGAUAUGAACUGCCUUUAGUGUGGUGGUUGGAAAGUUUUUUCGGUGCAAGAUGAGCUCGCGGCCUAUCAGCUUGUUGGUGGGGUAAUGGCCUACCAAGGCGUCGACGGGUAGCCGGCCUGAGAGGGUGUACGGCCACAUUGGGACUGAGAUACGGCCCAGACUCCUACGGGAGGCAGCGGUGGGGAAUAUUGCACAAUGGGCGGAAGCCUGAUGCAGCGACGCCGCGUGGGGGAUGACGGCCUUCGGGUUGUAAACUCCUUUCGACAGGGACGAAGCUUUUUGUGACGGUACCUGUAUAAGAAGCACCGGCUAACUACGUG